UGCACUGACUGCAGAGAGGUACCUCACAGGGUGGUGGGAGGAUGUAUGGGAAGAAAAGAGAAAAAUACAGGUGUGAAAGGUGAGAGAAAUCCUGCAAGACUGGCAUGGCAAAAAUUUCUUUUAAAUCACUCUUUUCUAGAAGCACCCUCAAGGCUCUAAAUGAGACCACACAAAUGGAAAUGAAGACUGGAGUCCAUCUGACCUGUGCAGCACUGACAGGCUCAGUUACUACAAACUUGAGCAGGCAGUCCCAGCCCUGGCCUUGACAAACAACCUUCUUCAGAGCUCAGCUGAGAAUUCUCCAUGGAUCUGAAUGAAAGGCAUUGAUUGUUUGGGCCAUAAAGAAAGAAGGAGAAGGAGAAGGAGAAGGAGAAGGAGAAGAAAGAGUGAACGAUAAAUACAUAUUCUUAUUGUAUACUAGAUUGACAAUUGUGUAGAAACUCCCUUCCUAUGCAAAAUCCUAGAAUAUUUACUGUUUUGCCACACCUGCAUUAUGUAAUGCUUUGGACAGGUCUAGCUUUGCAGGACUGCAAAGAAGAUGAGCACACCAAAUCCAACAAGGCCAAGUACUCUAAGGACAGAUACCCAGAACUUCCCGCAGAAUACGAAAUGAUGCCAUUGGAAUGAAUACAAUAAACUUCAUCAUGAGGAAUUUCCCUUUCAACUCAGAAACAACAUUCCUGAAAUGCUGUUCUGCGGAAAUUUGUCACCACCAAAGGACAACUACAGUUAGCAAAAACAUCUGUGUUCCUGAAGAAUGAAUUGCAUUUUGCCUAUCAAACUCCUAGAAUAUCACACUCAGUAAAAGAAGUGGACUUCUCUCAAAAAUGAAUUGCCUCAGUUUCAGUCUGUGGUACAGAGUGGGUAGUAUUGACUCAACCUGAAGAUGGAAUUUUAAGACUCUACAGCUUUUUAUUCACAUCUUCCUGUUUUGCAAUAGGUUGAGCAGCUAGUAGAAAGAAAAAAGCAGCAGUUUAGCUGCAUAAGAUAUGUGAUAUACUUGUUAUGUCUACAACACAAACUAUCAUCAAAACUUACUAUUGCAAGCAUCAUACAUUAGCUAUGCUGGAAAAUGAGAAUCCUUAUUGAUAUGUGAAACUAAAGCUCUUAUAUCUUAAAAUAACAUCUAGUGCACUGUCUGCCCCUCUCCUAAUGCUACAGGUUUGGUCUUUGCUUUUAAGUAUAAACAAACAAACUGUCCAUAAAUCUGUUUGUGAAAGUCUAUAACGCAAUGUUUGUAUCAAUAAAAAAGCAUUUCAGCUUAUUUUAUAAUAUUAAAAGCUGAGCAGAAUAAUGCAAGUAGCUCAUACUCGAGCUGUAAUUACUGUUAAUUUAAAAAAAGAAAAGAAUAAUUGAGGAAGCAGUUAGAUGACUAAGGUCACUUAAACCCAUUAGAUGUAAUAGCAGAGUACAGUCAGGCCUGGU